AAAAUAAAGGCAAAUGAAACACAUUCCCCCUAAUGUAAUUAAUGGUAGUAAUUGAUAGUUUCAUCUGCUCGAUAUUGCUCUCAGGGGACAAUAGAUCCAUUUCAAAGUUACAUUCUGCAUCAUCGGACAGGAAUACAGUCCACUUUGUCUGGACUUUUGUUUGUAUCAUACAUAGUUACGUUUCUAUUUACACUCUUAAAAAAGAUUUAGUGUUCAUAGAAUGAAGCCAUGUUUGCUUUCAUUAAAUUUUGUUUAUUAGCACACAGGAUUUUGCUGUUUCCCUCUUUGAAAGAUGAAUUUAUCUAAAAUUUGAGACUUCCAGUCAUUCAGUUUAUUAGACUUGAGACUUGCACUUUUUAAAUUUCUUAGGGAUCCAUUUAAAAUGUGAAAUUUCAUUUGCUAGAAUGCCUUUAUUUUAUUUAUAAUUUCUCUGAACUAUCUUAUGAUACUCCUUUAUUUAUACUGAAACAAUGAAAGUGACCUUUCUUUCAGUCUUUUCUGCAUGAGAGUUUUAAGUGUUUCUCUUAAGUGGUAUUAGGGGCUACAAUGAGCCAACACCUCACCAGAAUUGAAAAUUUAUAAAUAGAACUUAUACUCUCUUUCCCUUCUCCUUCCUUUUUGAGCUGGUUUCACAGACUCUAGGAACACUUCAGAUAUCUAUUAUUACUUGGACAAACUCUGGCUGUGUGUUGGACAGUGGAUGAAAUUAUUUCUCAAACUCACACAUUGGAAAACUGAGGGGGGUGGAACCUAGCUUUUCAUAGUUCAGGCCUUUGCAUUGCAAGCAAAAGUCUUUGCCAUCCAAUACCUGAUGUUUACUUGUGCGUCAUGAAACUCAUCCACAGCACUUCUGAGACUGUCUCUCUUGCAUUUAGUUCUUUAGUUGCUUGGCAAACUUGGUGGCUUGUAAUCUUGUGAUGUAAAGGGACAACCGUGCAUCUGAUUUAUUUAAGAAAGAAAAAAGAAAGAAAUGGAUUUCAUUUAUCUUUUUAAAUUUGUGCUGAAUAAUUUCAAUAAAACUUCAAAAGUCCCAACAAUUAAUGCACUAGAAAUGUAGAGUUUCAGUUAUCCCGCUAUUCUCAAAUCCUAUUGAAUUUAUCAUUUGAUGUGCUUUCUUCCUUCCUUCCUUUCUUUCUUUCUUUCUUUCUUUCUUUCUUUCUUUCUUUCUUUUUUAAAAGAUAAUGACUUUAUACAUAAAAAUGUUUUAUAGUAUUUCAUGAAUGAAAUGUAAGGUAAUUUUCAUAUUUGGGUUUGAAUAAACAUUUAUUUUAAAAUUCAUUUUGAGCUGAUCACAAUGUACUCAGGGAUAAAAAAAAAUCUUGUUAACUCCAUUGACAGUUUUCCUUCUGUAAGGAACUGCUGAUUUAGUCUGAAUAAUGUUCUCCCUAAUUAAUAAAAUUUUGGUCAAUGUUCAUUAUACACUUAAUUAAAAUAGUACAAGUGAACUUUUAUAAAAACAUGACUGUGAUUUUGGAAGCAAAUGGGUACCUUUCUGUUAGUAUCAGAGUGCUCCAUUUUAUGAAAAUUAAGCGUCAACCUGCUUGUGCAUUAGCACAUAUAUUUCAGCAGUAACAUAUCUGCAAAGUGAUGCCAGCUCUACACAGCAUCCUGACUCAUUCUUCAGGAGAACGCUUGCAAGGCAGUUCACCUGGUUAUAACUAAGGACUCUUUCCUGAAGCCCAGCAAAUACGCAUAUCUUUCUUUUACAUUUGGCUUAGUAUUCUGGGCAAGUGCUUCAUAACUAAUAGGAGAGGGACAUCUGCUAAGCAAUAUUACCUGAGUUUUUGAAGGAGUAAGGCAUAUGGAAAUCUUCAUUCAGUUAUGUGGUCCACAGUUGAUAUGCAACUUUAAAGGGAAGUUCCCAUAGAACAAGUUAUGGUCUCCAAAUUUGAUUGUAAACAAAUGAAUCAAUUAAUGAUUAGUUGAUGUGAGUGAUUAAUGAUAACAAAUCUAUAAAGUUUCCACAAUUUCUUUGUGUCAUGAGCUUUCUCCUUUUUUUUACACUCAAGCACACAUUCUUCUGUAGCAACUGUGUGGCCACUAGGGCUUUAUCUUGUGCUGAUGUUCAUACACUGAUGUGUAAAGCAUACUAGUCAACAGCUUAAUGCCUAUACCUAAAACCAUGAAAGACAUCACAAUUUAGAAUGAGAAGGUACCAUCUUAGCAAUUCUCUAUUUAUAGAGGAGGAACUCGAGAAGCUAGCAUAAAAAGGUAGUCUGACUAUGUUCACAGAAUUAGAGAUAUGGCAUAGACCAGAGUCCAAGGGUCCUCAUUAAACCACUUUUAGAGGCAAAACAUCUUUUGAAUGUCAGUCAGUCUCUCUAUGUAGAAUGCAGCAGUGACAAGAAUCUGUUUUGGUUUACGUAUGUCUUUCUAAUAUAUUUGACUAUAAAGAUAGACCUUUUUACAUGUAGCAUAAUUUUGGCCUCAGCUCUAGGGCUUUCGUGGAAUUUAAAAUUCCAAACUUAUUGAUUUUAGUUAAAAUUCAUAAUUUUAUAUCUCACGAAAGGUAGCAAUUGAUGAUGUAGAUGAAACAGAGCUAAUGUGGUUUUGAUUAGUAUAGCCCCUCCC
rnacentral:lncRNA from 1 species